UGCUGGGAUUACAGGCAUGAGCCACUGUGCCCAGCCGAGAUUUUUAAAAAUGAAUAAAUGAGUUGUGCAAUGUGGGAAAUACAUCAGCACUCUAGAAGAGGCUCAGAGCAAGAGAUGAUACUAUUAGCUCAAUUAUACUAGCUGCCUGAAAGAGUAAAAGUCAUAAGUUUGUGAGACCACUCCUGCUUUUAGAACUUAAUAAGGUUGAACAGAAGUCUGUAAACUUGGGUGACUUCUCUCUGGGAGAUAUUCUGGUCAUAUAUGAUGAUGAACUGGGAUAACUGUUAAUGACUGACUGGUACUCUGUGAAUGUGCCAGUAUCUUUGGCUCUUAUUUUUCAGGUUUCAUUUACUGCCAUCCUGUGACAUGGUAUAAUACUGGCAUUGUUGGUAAGGUUAUAACACUGGUCAUACGUAUUGGAAAUUGAAUUGAAGCCUCCUUCGAAUGAAUACUAAUGGAACAUGACUUGCCUGAGGAGGAAGUAGAUUUAGCUAAUCAACAGCUAAUUUCUAUGACAAAUAGUUCUGCACAAGUUUACCAUGAGUGAAUGUUUCCCUCUGAGGAUGAAGAUCACUAUAAACAACUCUGAUGAGAUCAUGCUGACACAAUGCCCCUUCUGUCAAAGCCAUGGAUCCAAUUGUUGAAGGCUACAAAAAUAAGAUGAGGCAACUGAAGUCAAGAUAUUAAGUAACUUGUCCCAAUUUAAAACAGCCAAUAAGUGGCAGAGCAUGGUUCUGAAGCGAAUACAAGUCAUUCUAAAGCCCUUGCUCCUUCCUUCAGACUUCUAGCGAUGGAAAUGUUUGCUAAUGAUUUUUUAAAGUAACUAAUACUUAGAAGAGUGAGCACUGGUACAGAAGAAUAUUUACCAUGAGAUUCAAUUUUCUUGUACUUUAUUACCUUUCAGUUAUAAAACUAAACUUUAUUAUGUGGAGUGUCUAUUUACAAUGUAUACUAAAUACACAAAAUAUAAGACUUCAAGGCGCAGAAAUUUCAAUACCAAUGGUCCUUAAAUGGACAUCAUGAGAAAAAAAUAGAAUAAUAAUGUUUACGGUACUGAAUUCCUUAGAAGAAAAGAGUUUUAUAAACAAUGUACUAUCAAAUACAUGAUAUAUUAUCAAAUAACUAUUAACAAAUUUACAACUUUUAUGACAAAUAACACUUUGGUUUCUCAAUUGCUACCCCACUCAAUGACUCCAAGAUACAUUCAUAAAAUUCACGAUUCUUUAUUGAUGAGUUCAGGUAACUGCCCAAUUUUGUAGAGGCACAUGGGAAUGGAAAUAUGAUGCUGUGCUAUUUUGUUUCCCUGAAUUGCACAAGAAAAGGUGCCUUGUGCUGCCCAAGUCUUCAGAAAAGUGCUACGCAGAUUAUCCCAUGUUCCUAAACUCUCCCUCACCUUUUCACCUUGCUUCCUACAGUCCUUGUAACCUUUCUAGCAUAACCUCCUCAUCUUGCAGAAGUGAUCAAGUCUCAAUCUUCGAGUUCUAUGUAAAGCCCCUAGUAUCUCAGAAGUGUUUAUGGUUUCUUUCCUCCCCCUAGUUUCCACUGUGUUCUUACUAAGAUUUUAAAAAUCCUACCAUGCUAUAAUACCAUAUGAACUUUUUUCCUGAAACUGAUGUCCUCCCCUCAGAGAAACAGAAAUCUCAUGUCCAUUUGCCUCACUCUUCUCAAUUAUGUAUAUAGCCUUUAACAUAUAAGAAGUGGUGACUAAAUUCAAUUUAUAAUUCAAAAGUCUCUCUGCAUACCACCACAAGAUUCGUUUUCCCAAUAUAUAAUACAAUUCUUCUGCUCAAAACCCUCUAAUUGCUUUGAAGAGAACCUAAAUCUAAACUCUUCACUUUAAAAAGACUCUCCAAAACUGACACAAAAUUGUCUUUUCCAGCUUGCAUAUGUACUCUGUGCUUCAAACAGAAUUACUUUCUAUUUCCAGGACGUGACCUGACUGUCCUGCCUCUCUGCUUAUGUUCAAUUGAUAGCUGCUUCCUGAAAUCUCACCUGCUCCUUAUCUCAACGGGCCAAAACUAUACCGCUUCAUAAGGCCCAGCUUAGAUGCCAUCGCCUCAAUAAAGCCUGCCAUGAUAACUUCAGCUAACAUCUGAGUUUCUCUCUAAAAUCCUCUUAUUAUACAAACCGCAUUACUAGUUAUGUGUAAACAUGUCUUUUCGAACACAGCAGGAGUUUCCUAGAAGUAGGUGCCACACAUGUAAUUCUCCAUAUUUUCAGUGUCCAACUCAAUGCCAUACAUCCAAAAACAUUUAUAAAUAUUGGUCAAAUAAAAUAAUUUGAAGAAAUAAAUAUUAAUAAUGCUAUCAAUUAUAGUAGUUUUACAUACUUUAUAAAAUACAUUAUCAAAAAAUGCAUUAUCAAUAUUUACCCCUGUA